rnacentral:rRNA from 1 species
UCCCUACGGGACGCAGCAGUGAGGAAUAUUGGUCAAUGGCCGGAAGGCUGAACCAGCCAAGCCGCGUGAGGGAGGAAGGCGCAGAGCGUCGCAGACCUCUUUUGCCGGGGGACAAAAGGCCGGACUCGUCCGGUCCUGAGGGUACCCGGAGAAAAAGCAUCGGCUAACUCCGUGCCAGCAGCCGCGGUAAUACGGAGGAUGCGAGCGUUAUCCGGAUUUAUUGGGUUUAAAGGGUGCGUAGGCGGGCUGUUAAGUCAGCGGUCAGAUGUCGGGGCUCAACCCCGGCCUGCCGUUGAAACUGGCGG